rnacentral:rRNA from 1 species
UACGGAGGGGGCUAGCGUUGUCCGAAGUUACUGGGCGUAAAGCGUGCGCAGGCGGCUUUGCAAGACAGAUGUGAAAUCCCCGGGCUUAACCUGGGAACUGCAUUUGUGACUGCAUGGCUGGAGUGCGGCAGAGGGGGAUGGAAUUCCGGCGUGUAGCAGUGAAAUGCGUAGAUAUGACGGAGGAACACCGAUGGCGAAGGCAAUCCCCUGGGCCUGCACUGACGCUCAUGCACGAAAGCGUGGGGAGCAAACAGG